rnacentral:misc_RNA from 1 species
AACGCACCUUGCGCUCCUUGGUACCCAUCCCGAGGAGCAUGCCUGUUUGAGUGUCGUGAAAUCCUCAACCUCGUUUGAUUUUUUUGUCUUGCGAGUUUGGAUUCUGGAGUGUGCUGGCUGAAAGGUUGGCUCCUCUGAAAUGCAUUAGUGAAACCUUCAAACGAGAAUGGGCUUUUGGCUUGAUAAAUCAUCUAUGCCAUUUGCAGCCAUCGUUAUGUUUUUGCUUAAGCAACCGUCUUCGGACAAUUGACACCAUUUGACCUCAAAUCAGGUAGGACUACCCGCUGAACUUAA